rnacentral:rRNA from 1 species
CUACGGGCGGCUGCAGUGGGGAAUAUUGCACAAUGGAGGAAACUCUGAUGCAGCAACGCCGCGUGGAGGAUGACACUUUUCGGAGCGUAAACUCCUUUUAUAUAGGAAGAAGAUGACGGUACUAUAUGAAUAAGCGCCGGCUAACUCCGUGCCAGCAGCCGCGGUAAUACGGAGGGCGCAAGCGUUACUCGGAAUCACUGGGCGUAAAGAGCGUGUAGGCGGAUUAAAAAGUCAGAAGUGAAAUCCUAUAGCUUAACUAUAGAACUGCUUCUGAAACUCUUAAUCUAGAAUAUAAGAGAGGUAGAUGGAAUUUCUGGUGUAGGGGUAAAAUCCGUAGAGAUCAGAAGGAAUACCGAUUGCGAAGGCGAUCUACUAGAACAUUAUUGACGCUGAGACGCGAAAGCGUGGGGAGCAAACAGGAUUAGAUACCCCGUAGUC